UCCUCCUUAGCUCAGUUGGUAGAGCGACGGACUGUUAAUCCGCAGGUCACUGGUUCAAGUCCAGUAGGAGGAG
rfam:Vibrio harveyi ATCC BAA-1116 chromosome I, complete sequence.